rnacentral:misc_RNA from 1 species
GAUGAAGAACGUAGCGAAAUGCGAUAAGUAAUGUGAAUUGCAGAAUUCAGUGAAUCAUCGAAUCUUUGAACGCACCUUGCGCCUUUUGGUAUUCCGAAAGGCACACCUGUUUGAGCGUCAUGAAUACCUCAAUCUCCAUCUUUUCUUCGGAUUGAUGGGUGACUUGGAUGUUGAGCCCUGCUGGUAUGCUAUAUCAGCUGGCUUUAAACUUAUUAGCCGGCUCUGUACUGGAUCGGUUUGACUCGACGUGAUAAUAUUAUCGUUGAGGAUGCAUGUCUCAUGCAGCCGGAAAGUAUCAAAGCAGCUUCUAGCUUGCCUUUAGCGCACUUUUACAUUUUAGACCUCAGAUCAGGUGGGACUACCCGCUGAACUUAAGCAUAUCAAUAAGCGGAGGA